UACGUACCGACACGACUCGACUAUGUUGGCACGUCAAUUUCUGUUAUUACGCGGAAAGAGCAGCCAGUUUGUCAGUAGUUUGAGACGUUUUGAGAGCAAGCAAAACUCCCCAGCCAUGGUUGUUAUAGUGAAAGUGAUUUAUUGUGGUGGAUGAGGGUACGGCCCCAGGUAUCGGCGUUUAGAGCAAGAGCUCAAGGAUGAGUUCGGCGAUGACGUUGAUAUGGUUGGAGAAAGUACUCCCGGUGUUACCGGAUGGCUGGAGGUAGAGGUCAAUGGAAAACUUAUCCAUUCCAAGAAGAAUGGAGAUGGAUACAUUGACAGUGAAGGCAAGCUGAAGAAGAUUGUUAAUGCUGUUAGCGCAGCUAUGUGAUUCUUUAUCACAUUCAAUGACACAGCUAAACAGCUCCGCGUUGGACAUCGUGGCUAUCCUUAUCAUGACAGAAACACCCUAAAAGUAGCCCCGGCUAUUCAGGUGUUUCUCGACACCCUACAAGGAUACACCAGGCUGUCCAAGAUGGAAAGCUUUGACUGUGUAAAUUUACAUUGUGUAGUAUAGAAAUUGUGUAUCUACCAGAAUUGGUGGUGGUGUGAUGUAAUUUGUAAUGAAGGGGUGCAAUUCUGUUUAAGUUUAAGGAAGGUACAUCAAGUUUGAAUGUCAAUACACCAGUUUACGGUUGUGUGCGCCAUUUUAAACAAAGCCAAUGACCUAGAGGUCAUGUAUUUAUGCGUAAAUUAAGAUUGCGCCCUUGCAAAUUAUGAUGAUAUCACUGCCUUCGCGCUGCGUUGUGCGCGCACAUCAUCAUUUGCAUGGGCGCAAUCUUAAUUUACGCAUAAAUACCACUGACCUCGGGUCAUUGGCUUUGUUUCAAAGCCAAUGACCCGAGGUCAACUGUCUGCGCAUGCGCACUGAUACAACCGUAAACUGGUGUAUUGCACUACCAAAGAAAGGAUAAUAUGUGAGAUGAUUGUUCAUUAGCUAUAAGAGAGACAUUAUUUAUCUGACAAUAUCAUCAAAGUGGAAUAUAUUUUGAUGAUUUCUUUUUAGUAAUGUGACUUUAAUUUGUUGAUUUAAAGUACAACUGUAUUAUUCAUUGUCCAUAACAUUUACUAUGUACCCACCCUCAGGCUUGUGACAAAAAAAUCAAAUGAUCACCUGUACCUUGGGUAAAUCACUGGUAUCGGUAUACAAGUACAUGGACAGUCUUUAUGUCAACAGACUGUUGUAUUUAAAGUCAUUAAAAUUUAAA